UGGGGAAUAUUGCACAAUGGGCGCAAGCCUGCUGCAGCCAUGCCGCGUGUGUGAAGAAGGCCUUCGGGUUGUAAAGCACUUUCAGCGGGGAGGAAGGCGUUAAGGUUAAUAACCUUGUCGAUUGACGUUACCCGCAGAAGAAGCACCGGCUAACUCCGUGCCAGCAGCCGCGGUAAUACGGAGGGUGCAAGCGUUAAUCGGAAUCACUGGGCGUAAAGCGCACGCAGGCGGUCUGUCAAGUCGGAUGUGAAAUACCCGGGCUCAAACUGGGAACUGCAUCGGAUACUGGCAAGCUUGAGUCUCGUAGAGGGAGGUAGAAUUCCAGGUGUAGCGGUGAAAUGCGUAGAGGUAUGGAGGAAUACCGGUGGCGAAGGCGGCCCCCUGGACGAAAACUGACGCUCAGGUGCGAAAGCGUGGGGAGCAAACAGG
rnacentral:rRNA from 1 species